rnacentral:lncRNA from 1 species
UGACACAUUUCCCAUAUACGUAGGUUGUUAUAAUAGUAGAGGUAGAGAAAUGUUACCAAUUUACCAUCACUGGUGUACUGUACAGACACACAAGGCUUAGUAAAAUCAAUGUGAUGUACAAAUGUCUAUCCUUUUGCCAGAUGCAAAAAAAGGAGUAUUUUGAGCACUUAGGUACAUGGAUCUUCUAUGGGGCAAGUAGAUCUAAGCAAUACAUGCAGUACAAUGUAUGCCUUUUUUUCUAUAGUUAAGGCACAAACCAGUGGCAGGGUAAUCUAUAGCUCAUGUAGGUGCAUUCUCUGAUCUAAAAGCAAUACACCAGUCAGUGGAGCAGCACUUGAAGCUGCCUCCUAUGGAAUCAGAACCAUUAAUCCUCAUAUGUCACACUCAUCACCUCCAGCCUUGCUGCCCAGAAUCCUUUCAAACAGAUCUCAUGGAUCGACCUGGGAUUUUCUUUGUGUACAGCUUAUAACAAUAUCUAUUUAUGCCUUCUAUCCCAACUCUGAACCACAAACAGGGACAGAUGCCUUCCUACUGUGAACAACAUGUGCAUUAUGAUGUGAUGGAAUUUUACAAAGAGAACUCUCCUAUGAGACAUUAUUGGACUUCUGAACUACUGAAGCUAUUUUUUGCUCAAGCAACAACAAAUGGCAGAGGUGCUCUAAUCUGGGAGCAGGUCAGCUUUGAAUUUAAUUAUUUGCUGGACAGCUACAGAGUGACAAUGAACUGCAUGCAUAAAAAGAAGCACUUCCUUCAACAGAGUCCAUGUUUAUUUACAAAGCAUUUCAAGAUUUCCGUUUAAAAAGAAGCAGCUUGAAGAUUUCAGCCUGCAGAACAGAAGCACUGUCAUGUCUUUAAACAGCAUCCACCAACAAGCUGACAAAAGGCUCUGAAGACUGCAGUCCCUACUGAGCCAUGAUGCAUUUGUUUCAACCUGGAUCUUUCUCAGCCCUGCCCCAUAGGGUUGUUACGGGGACAGACUGUGAAAAAUAAGAGAUCCAUGUCUUGAGAUGAACAGAAG